rnacentral:rRNA from 1 species
CCUACGGGAGGCAGCAGUGAGGAAUAUUGGUCAAUGGGCGGGAGCCUGAACCAGCCAAGCCGCGUGAGGGAAGAAGGUACAGCGUAUCCUAAACCUCUUUUGUCAGGGAACAAAGGCGGGGACUAGUCCCCGGAUGAGGGUACCUGAAGAAAAAGCAUCGGCUAACUCCGUGCCAGCAGCCGCGGUAAUACGGAGGAUGCGAGCGUUAUCCGGAUUUAUUGGGUUUAAAGGGUGCGCAGGCGGCCUGUUAAGUCAGCGGUAAAAGCCCGGGGCUCAACCCCGGCCCGCCGUUGAAACUGGCAGUC